AAUAAUGGACAAUGGGGGCAACCCUGAUCCAGCCAUGCCGCGUGUGUGAAGAAGGUCUUCGGAUUGUAAAGCACUUUAAGUUGGGAGGAAGGGCUGUAGGCUAAUACCCUGAAGUUUUGACGUUACCAACAGAAUAAGCACCGGCUAACUCUGUGCCAGCAGCCGCGGUAAUACAGAGGGGGCAAGCGUUAAUCGGAAUUACUGGGCGUAAAGAGCGCGUAGGUGGUUCAGUAAGAUGGGUGUGAAAACCCCGGGCUUAACAUGGGAACUGCUUUCAUAACUGCUGGGCUAGAGGACGGUAGAGGGUAGUGGAAUUUCCUGUGUAGCGGUGAAAUGCGUAGAUAUGAGAAGAAACACCAGUGGCGAAGGCGACUACCUGGACUGAUACUGACACUGAGGUGCGAAAGCGUGGGGAGCAAAC
rnacentral:rRNA from 1 species